CAGGGAGGGAGGCAGACGCAGAUGCAGACCGCUGGCUGUUCCCGUCAGACCCCGCUGCCGUGCCAGGGGAGGCCCUGGACCAGGAGAAACCUGACCUGGAGGAAGGACUGGGGCUAAGGACUGCCUGCCGCCGAGUACCUGGAGGAUCCUGAUGCGGAGAGGGAGCUGGAGCUGCCAGCAGCUGAGUACCCGGAUGAGCUGGAAGGACCGGAGGGACUCGCUUGAGCAACCGGGUAGGAAAUAGCCCAGGGACAGAACUGCACACUGUGAUGGCUCUGUCCUGCACAAGGCCUACUGCAAACCCAAGGUAAGAAGCUUGAGUUUAGUCUUUGAAUUCAUUUAUUCAGACACUUAUUUCAAUUUUUGUUUGUACUGUUUUGUACUUUGCUCUGUACCUGAGCUAAAGAUUUCCUUCUCUAUUGUGUUUCCCUCUAGGAUCGAGUUGGGAAUUGACCAGACCAAAGUUCACAGGGAGCACAUCCUUCCAUGAUGACCAAUCUGCCCUCUUCCGGCUAAUGCAGUGGAAUUCUCAGGCCAUGCAGCUGUUUUUUUUUGGUGGGGGUGGAAAGAUGAAGAAUGGGAGCUGGAGUAGCUUGGAGAGAUCUCCAGGGUGGGAGCAGAAUGGCUGGUGCAGCAAAGCCUCAGUAAAGUGAAUUCAUGUGCGACAUCUAAG